rnacentral:rRNA from 1 species
AACGUAGGACACAAGCGUUAUCCGGAGUUACUGGGCGUAAAGGGCGUUUAGGCGGGUGAUUAAGUUCGCUAUGAAAGCGCCAGGCUAAACCUGGCGAGGCUGGCGGAUACUGGUCAUCUGGAGUGAGUCAGAGGAAGGUAGAAUUCCGCGUGUAGUGGUGAAAUGCGUAGAGAUGCGGAGGAAUACCAGUGGCGAAGGCGGCCUUCUGGGACUCAACUGACGCUGAAGCGCGAAAGCGUGGGUAGCAAACAGG